UACAGAGGUCCCAAGCGUUGUUCGGAUUCACUGGGCGUAAAGGGGGCGUAGGCGGUCGGGUAAGUCUGACGUGAAAUCUUCAAGCUCAACUUGGAAACUGCGUCGGAUACUAUUCGGCUAGAGGAAUGGAGGGGAGACUGGAAUACUUGGUGUAGCAGUGAAAUGCGUAGAUAUCAAGUGGAACACCAGUGGCGAAGGCGAGUCUCUGGACAUUUCCUGACGCUGAGGCACGAAAGCCAGGGGAGCAAACGGG
rnacentral:rRNA from 1 species